CAAGCAGUCCCUCUCUUUUCCUCAAGGCAGUGGAAGGCUGUGUCUCCUACUUCUGAUUUCACUUCCAGCACCCAAGGCAGGUUUUGAAGCAGGGUCAGCCCGGCACUGGCCUCCCUAGGGUGAAUGCAUUCGGCAGGGAAUUCUGAGCACAUCACUGGUGACCCUCUUCCGUGGCUCAUUACAAGAGGUCCUGACUGCCAUCUACAGAGAAUCCCAGAGGGCUAUUCGUUGCUGAUGCCUGGGGGACUGGCCAGGCUCACUGUGUGCAGGGCGCCAUAUCCUGUCACCGUGUAUGCCAGUUACAGGAGCUUUUGUCGAGAGGACACUCAUGUUCACCAGGAGACACUUCAGAGCUGCUGAAGACUUUCAGAUGACGAGGUGGUCUGAAGCAAGAGAAGGAUCUGAGUCAACAGACCUCCACCCAUCUUAGGAGGUCAUGCCCUCCCGUGGAAGAGCAUGCGCCACCUUUUCCCGCCAAAUCAAUAUGUAACUCCCUCACCCCACCCAGCAAACUGACUCCAGCACUGCGACUGUUCUGCUACUGCAAGAAGCAUUCUAUACAGCUGUCCCUGAAGAACUAAAAAGGACAUCCCAGUAAGCACUGCGACUGUCCCUGAGUUUCUUUCUGCCUUUCAGUCAUCCUUCGCAGCCUUAAAAACAUUCAGCGAACACUGGUUAUUAAGAACCACAGGUCGUUUCCACAAUGCUGUUUUGCAAGGAGCUACGGUGCGCACACACAUUACUGCUACGGGACUACACCACUGCAGCCCUCCGGUAUGCACACAGCCUUUACCGAUCAUGUG